rnacentral:lncRNA from 1 species
AAAAAAAAAAGUAUUAAACCCUUAGAUGAUACAGAUGAAAUAUUGAAUUUUGAGCCUCAAUAUAAACAAUACAUUCGCAGAAAAGAAACAUACUAUGCUAAAAUGUUUCUUAGUUGUGAAGAAGAUUUGCUACGAAAAUAUAACUACAAUGAAUCUUUAUUGAUUGAGCGCAUCCUCAAUGUGUAUGCUCAAGUUGAUAAGUCUUAUCAAGCCAUUAACGUGCGUCUAGUAGUUGUUGGCAUUGAUUUCCUAAAAAAUUUUAUCGCAAA